AUUUCCAGAUGCAAUUUCUAAAUUCUGAGAAUAAAGAAAAAAAUCCAAAUUAUUUCAAAUAAGGAGGGAAAAACAAACAAACGAACCAUCUGCAUUGGAAAGAGAAUCAACUAGAUAUCAGAUUUCUCAUCCCUAAAACUAAAUUCUAGGAAGCAAUAGAAUAUUUAUAUGAUUUUCUGAGGCAAGUGAACCGUGACUAUUUCAAUAUUCAAACAAACUACCAUUCAGGUGAAUGCAAAUGAAAGUUAAAUUUUGACAUGCAAAGUUUCAGAAACACAUCAUUCAUUCAUAGUGUGCUUUUUCCUGAAAAUGAUUCUUGAUGUAUUGCAGUCAAACAACAAAUGAAUCACAAAAAUGGGUUCAAGAAAAAAGGAAACUGUGGUGAGCAAUCAACACAUACAAUUAUAGUUAAGUCUAAUUAUGGCUGAUUUUGUACAUGCAAUCUUAAUAUGGCUCUGAAAAUGAAAGAAUCAUGAAGUAAAAUAAAAUUACUAAAAAUCAGGAUACAGAAUUCUAGUUCUUAAAAUAAAAAAUCAAGAAAAUCUGAGUAUGUGGGGAGGGACUAGCAAUUAAAAAUUUGAACUUAAAUUAUAGCCUGGGAGGUAAAAGGAUGUGGGUAUUGUUAACUUCUUUAGGCUGAUAGGUAAAAUAUAUAUUCAUAUGUGGCAAAAAAUAUAAGGAAAGUCAUUAGCAGAAUACAAAUAGAAACUUAUGAUACUCAUUUACUCAUUCAUUCAUACAGUAAAUAGCUCCUGAGUGCUCUGUGUUCAGUGUGCUGUAUUUUAUGGUAAGCAAGUCAGGCAUGGUCUUUGCCCUCAAGGAGGUUACCAUUUAGCCUGAGAAACAACAUGAAUUAGUAGUUGAUUUUGAUCCUUCUUGGCUGCAUUAGUCAGGGUGCUAAUAAAACAAAAAUGAGCUCAGAAAAGAACUGACCCGUUGGUAGGAAAAAAAAAAAAAAAAAAGAAUUGAGAGUCUCAAGUUUGGAGACUUGCAGAAUGGAAUCCCACCUUUUAAAAGAUAAAGUUGUGAUGGUCUUUCAGGUGAUACUUUCACAACAGGUAGUGCAUGCCUGCCACAUGCACCAUCAAAGUCUUUGACUGGGAGAAACAACCCGAUUAAGGUGUGGAAAAGGAGCGGGACCCUCUAGUCCUAACCCCCACCGUGUUCUCUGCCUGCCUUUUGUCUAUAGAAAAGCUUUAAACAAAGAGUAAGUUUAAUCAGAGAAGUGAGAAAAUGCAGAAGCAAAGAAAAGCAGUCAAAUAAGACCGAAUGAUAAUAGUUGUAGUCAUUAAGUAAUGUCAAGGACCUUUAGUUCCACCUCCUAUAACUUCUGAGCUGAUUUGUAGAUACUGAAACUCCCACCAAGUGGAGGAAGUUAACUGCAUGAUGACCAAACUGUAGCCAUGAUAUAAGCUGCCACAAUUCUGAGAAUAGACCUCAAGGAAUUGGGAACAAGCUGAUCCCAGGACUGAAGGUUAAGUGGACUUAAAACAGUGAAGAUGGUGUUGGUCAGACCACUGAGUGACCAAUUUUGAGAUGUCUGUCAGAGCUGACUGUGUAGCCCCCCCAACCCCCAUGUGUAUGCCCCUAAAACUCCCCCUUUUAAAAACUCUUGCCCACUAAUUAUCAGGAGGUGGGGAAGUCAGCUUUUGGAUAUAAGUCCAUCCUCUCUCCCUUGGUUGCCAACCAGAAAGCUGAGCUGACUGCCAUCUGAAAUAGCCCCCCAACCCCAUUUCACUCUCUUCACAGCCCAUCUUCCUAUCUGAAAUUAGUAGUUUUGGGUGGCUUUGUGCCCAUCUUUCUCCAGACAAAGAGAAGAGCCUACAGAGCCUUGUCUGGUUGAUUUCAUCCUGAAUUUCCAGAGCUUAAAUCAAUGCCAGACAUUGUAUCACUGUAUCAUUGUAUCAAUGCCAGACACUCAAUAAAUAUUAGUUGGAUGAAUCAAUUGAUGGUCUCCUGUAUCAGUUAGGCAACAACAAUGGCUCAGGUAUCUCAAGAGCUUAGUGCAAGAAAGCUUCUCAGUUUUUCAAGCUGCGUGUUCAUCCCACUGAUACUGACAAUUAACCAUGGCAGAAAGGAAAAGAAUAGCAAACUACAUCAUGGUUCUCCUGAUGACCCUGAGCUUUCCUGAUCAUAUUUCACCAGCCAGAGCAUCUCCUGGCCAGAUCCAACUCCAUAGGGACAGGAAAGCACAGUCCUUUGAGGUGUCAGGGAAGAUACCUGGAGAUGUUUGGUAAUUAGCAAUAAUGAAUACUGUUUCCUCUGCUUUUGACAAAGUGCUUCACCCUUCCAGUCAGAUCUCAGCUAGAAAGUUCUAUCCUCAGUGAAGCACUUUUCUUUACCCCUUAAGCCAGUUGCUUCUCAAAUUUAACAUGAAUGUGAAUCACCUGCAAUCUGGGUGGGGCCCCGAGAGUCUUCUUUCCUAACUGGCUCCCAGAUGGUUCUGAUGUUCCUGGUCUGCAGCCCUCACUCUGAGUAGCUAGGUUUCAGAAGGUUCUAGAUUCUUUUGUUAUAUGCUCUUGAAUAACCAAGUGUCUCUGGUUCUUUAGAGCCCCUCUCUUAGUUUAUAAUUAGACCUUCAUUUUCAUGAUCUGCUUCUCCUCAAUUCUGAGCUCCAUGAUAUCAGAUAUGGGCAACUACCCAUCGCCUCCCUGUAAUGAAGGUACUUGAUCAAUAUGAGCUGGGUUUCGACAUUGCUGAUUUCCUAGAUUUCUAGGGAUUGUUCAUAUUUGUAGGUAAGUCCCAGAAGCCCAGGAGCUUUGCUGGGACUUGGCAUUUAGUGGCCCCGAAAUCAGCCUGCACAUUUUGGAAGGUGCUAUGGUCUGAAUACAUGCCCCAAAUUCAUAUGUUGAAAACUAAUGCCCUAAAUUAAUAAUGUUAGGAGGCGGGGCUGUGGAAGGUCAUUAGGUCACAAGGGGAGGGAUUAGCGUUCUUAUAAAAGACACCUGAGACCACGCCCUUGCCUCUUCUGCAUGGGAGGAUGUAGGGAGAGGUCAGCUGUCUGCAGCCUGCAAGAGCGUCUUCACUGGAACUCAACCACUGCGCAGGGCACCCUGAUUUUGGACUUCCCGUCUCCAGAACUGUGAAUAAUCAAAGUGCGGACCUGGACUUCCAAGAUCUGCUGCUCACGGUUUGCUAAACUCAAGGUCACCAGGCAAGAUGUAUCAUUUACCCUCUUUAGAAAUAAAAACCUUCUUGUAAUGGGUUAGCUUUAGGCAUAAAUGAGCCAAUUAAAAUGAACUCUGUCAUGGAUGUUGCUACUUCAAUGAAGAGGAACCAAUGAACAGGAGGUCCUGGCUUCU